AGGACGAACGCUGGCGGCGUGCUUAACACAUGCAAGUCGAGCGAGGCCCCUCCUUCGGGAGGGUGCCAUAGCGGCGAACGGGUGAGUAACACGUGGGCAACCUGCCCCUAGCACUGGGAUAACCCCGGGAAACCGGGGCUAAUACCGGAUACGACCUCGAGAGGCAUCUCUCGUGGUGGAAAAGGUUACUGGCUAGGGAUGGGCCCGCGGCCUAUCAGCUUGUUGGUGGGGUAACAGCCCACCAAGGCGACGACGGGUA
rnacentral:rRNA from 1 species